rnacentral:rRNA from 1 species
GACCCGUCUUGAAACACGGACCAAGGAGUCUAACAUCUAUGCGAGUGUUCGGAUGUCAAACCCCUACGCGUAAUGAAAGUGAACGGAGGUGAGAACCGCAAGGUGCAUCAUCGACCGAUCCUGAUGUCUUCGGAUGGAUUUGAGUAUGAGCAUAGCUGUUGGGACCCGAAAGAUGGUGAACUAUGCCUGAAUAGGGUGAAGCCAGAGGAAACUCUGGUGGAGGCCCGCAGCGGUUCUGACGUGCAAAUCGAUCGUCAAAUUUGGGUAUAGGGGCGAAAGACUAAUCGAACCAUCUAGUAGCUGGUUCCUUCCGA